rnacentral:rRNA from 1 species
ACUCAAAUGAAUAGACGGGGACCCGCACAAGCAGCGGAGCAUGUGGUUUAAUUCGACGCUACGCGAAAAACCUUACCAAGACUUGACAUCCCCUGAAUAGCCGCGAAAUCGGUGAAAUAUAGCAAUAUACAGGGAGACAGGUGUUGCAUGGUCGUCGUCAGCUCGUGUCGUGAGAUGUUCGGUUAAGUCCGUCAACGAGCGCAACCCUUAUCAAUCAGUUGCCAGCAUUAAGUUGGGCACUCUGGAGAGACUGCCAUAGUUAAUAUGGAGGAAGGUGGGGAUGACGUCAGAUCAUCAUGGCCCUUACGUCUUGGGCUACACACGUGCUACAAUGGUCGCUACAAAGAGUUGCAAUAUGGUAACAUGGAGCCAAUCUCAAAAAAGCGAUCUCAAUUCGGAUUGAGGGCUGAAACCCGCCCUCAUGAAGUCGGAGUUGCUAGUAAUCCCGAAUCAGCAUGUCGGGGUGAAUGCGUUCCCGGGUCUUGCACACACCGCCCGU